UACGGAGGGUGCAAGCGUUAUCCGGAUUCACUGGGUUUAAAGGGUGCGUAGGUGGGCAGGUAAGUCAGUGGUGAAAUCUCUGGGCUUAACCCGGAAACUGCCGUUGAUACUAUUUGUCUUGAAUACUUUGGAGGUAAGCGGAAUAUGUCAUGUAGCGGUGAAAUGCUUAGAUAUGACAUAGAACACCAAUUGCGAAGGCAGCUUACUACACAGUGAUUGACACUGAGGCACGAAAGCGUGGGGAUCAAACAGG
rnacentral:rRNA from 1 species